UGUUUUUCGUUCUCAAGAAUGCUUUGGCUAUUCGGGGUCUUUUGUGUUUCCAUACAAAUUGUGAAAGUUUUCGUUCUAGUUUUGUGAAAAAUGCCAGUGGUAGUUUGCUAGGGAUUGCAUUGAAUCUGUAGAUUGCUUUGGGUAGUAGAGUCCUUUUCACAAUGUUGAUUCUUCCCAUGCAAGAACAUGGUAUAUCUCUCCAUCUAUUUGUAUCAUCUUUAAUUUCUUUCAUCAGUGUCUUAAAAUUUUCUGCAUACAGGUCUUUUGUCUCCUUAGGUAGGUUUAUUCCUAGGUAUUUUAUUCUUUUUGCUGCAGUGGUAAAUGGGAGUGUUUUCUUGAUUUCACUUUCAGAUUUUUCAUCAUUGGUGUAUAGGAAUGCCAGAGAUUUCUGUGCAUUAACUUUGUAUCCUGCUACUUUACCAAAUUCAUUGAUUAGCUCUAGUAGUUUUCCGGUAGCAUCUUUAGGAUUCGCUGUGUGUAGUACCAUGUCAUCUGCAAAGAGUGGCAGCUUUACUUCUUCUUUUCCGAUUUGGAUUCCUUUUAUUUCCUUUUCUUCUCUGAUUGCUGUGGCUAAAACUUCCAAAACUAUGUUGAAUAAGAGUGGUGAGAGUGGGCAACCUUGUCUUGUCCUUGAUCUUAGUGGAAAUGCUUUCAUUUUUUCACCAUUGAGGACGAUGUUGGCUGUGGGUUUGUGAUAUAUGGCCUUUAUUAUGUUGAGGAAAGUUCCCUCUAUGCCUACUUCCUGCAGGGUUUUUAUCAUAAAUGGGUUUUGAAUUUUGUCAAAAGCUUUCUCUGCAUCUAUUGAGAUGAUCAUAUGGUUUUUCUCCUUCAGUUUGUUAAUACGGUUUAUCACAUUGAUUGUUUUGCGUAUACGGAAGAAUCCUUGCAUUCCUGGAAUAAACCCCAUUUGAUCAUGGUGUAUGAUCCUUUUAAUGUGCUGUUGGAUUCUGCUUGCUGGUAUUUUGUUGAGGAUUUUUGCGUCUAUGUUCAUCAGGGAUAUUGGCCUGUAGUUUUCUUUCUUUGUGACAUCCUUGUCUGGUUUUGGUAUCAAGGUGACGGUGGCCUCGUAGAAUGAAUUUGGGAGUGUUCCUCCCUCUGCUAUAUUUUGGAAGUGUUUGAGGAUAGGUGUUAGCUCUUCUCUAAAUGUUUGAUAGAAGUCGCCUGUGAAGCCAUCUGGUCCUAGGCUUUUGUUUGUUGGAAGAUUUUUAAUCACAGUUUCCAUUUCAGCGCUUGUGAUUGGUCUGUUCGUAUUUUCUGUUUUUCCCUAUUCAGUCUUGGCAGGUUGUGCAUUCCUAAGAAUUUGUCCGUUUCUUCCAGGUUGUCCAUUUUAUUGGCAUAGAGUUGCUUGUAGUAAUCUCUCAUGAUCUUUUGUAUUUCUGCACUGUCAGUUGUUACUUCUCCUUUUUCAUUUCUAAUUGUAUUGAUUUGAGUCUUCUCCCUUUUUUUCUUGAUGAGUCUGACUAAUGGUUUCUCAAUUUUGUCUAUCUUCUCAAAGAACCAGCUUUUAGCUUUAUUGAUCUUUGCUAUCGUUUCCUUCAUUUCUUUUUCAUUUAUUUCUGAUCUGAUCUUUAUGAUUUCUUUCCUUCUGCGAACUUUGGGGUUUUUUUGUUCUUUCUCUUUAAAAUUGCUUUAGGUGUUAGGUUGUUUAUUCGAGAUGCUUUCUGUUUCUUAAGGUAGGAUUGUAUUGCUAUAAACUUGCCUCUUAGAACUGCUGUUGCUGCAUCCCAUAGGUUUGGGGUCGUCGUGUCUCGAUUGUCAUUCGUCUCUAGGUGUUUUUUGAUUUCCUCUUUGAUUUCUUCAGUGAUCACUUCGUUAUUAAGUAGUGUAUUGUUUAGCCUCCAUGUGUUUGUAUUUUGUACAGAUCUUUUCCUGUAAUUGAUAUCUAGUCUCACAGCGAUGUGCUUGGAAAAGAUACUUGAUUCAGUUUCAAUUUUCUUUCUUUUUUUCCACAUGUUUAUUGGAGCAUAAUUGGUUUACAGUGGUGUGUUAGUUUCUGCUUUAUAACAAAGUGAAUCAGUUAUACAUAUACCUAUGUUCCCAUAUCUCUUCCCUCUUGCGUCUCCCUCCCUCCCACCCUCCCUAUCCCACGCCUCCAGGCGGUCAGAAAGAACCGAGCUGAUCUCCCUGUGCUAUGCGGCUGCUUCCCACCAGCUAUCUACCUUAUGUUUGGUAGUGUAUAUAUGUCCGUGCCUCUCUCUCGCUUUGUCACAGCUCACCCUUCCCCCUUCCCAUAUCCUCAAGUCCAUUCUCUAGUAGGUCUGUGUCUUUAUUCCUGUCUCACCCCUAGCUUCUUCGUGACAUUUUUUUUCCUUUUUAAAUUCCAUAUAUAUGUGUUAGCAUACGGUAUUUGUUUUUCUCUUUCUGAAAUAUUUCACUCUGUAUGACAGACUCUAGGUUUAUCCACCUCAUUACAAAUAGCUCAAUUUCGUGUCUUUUUAUGGCUGAGUAAUAUUCCAUUGCAUACAUGUGCCACAUCUUCUUUAUCCAUUCUUCCGAUGAUGGACACUUACGUUGUUUCCAGUCCGGGCUAUUGUAAAUAGAGCUGCAGUGAACAUUUUGGCACAUGACUCUUUUUGAAUUAUGGUGUUCUGAGGGUAUAUGCCCAGUAGUGGGAUUGCCGGGUCACAUGGUAGUUCUAUUUGUAGUUUUUUAAGGAACCUUCAUACUGUUCUCCACAGUGGCUGUAUCAAUUUACAUUCGCACCAACAGUGCAAGAGGCUUCCCUUUUCUCCACACCCACUCCAGCAUUUACUGUUUCUAGAUUUUUUGAUGAUGGCCAUUCUGACUGGUGUGAGAUGAUAUCUCAUUGUAGUUCUCAUUUGCAUUUCUCUAAUGAUUAAUGAAGUUGAGCAUUGUGUCAUGUGUUUGUUGGCAGUCUGUAUAUCUUCUUUGGAGAAAUGUCUCUUUCGGCCUUCUGCCCAUUUUUGGAUUGGGUUGUUUGAUCUUUUGUUAUUGAGCUGCCUGAGCUGCUUACAAAUUUUGGAGAUUAAUCCUUUGUCAGUUGCUUCAUUUGCAAAUAUUUUCUCCCCUUGUGAGGUUUGUGUUUUGGUCUUGUUUGUGGUUUCCUUUGCUGUGCAAAAGCUUUGAAGUUCCAUUAGGUCUCAUUUGUUUAUUUUUGUUUUUAUUUCCAUUUCUCUAGGAGGUGGGUCAAAAAGGAUCUUGCUGUGAUUUAUGUCUUAGAGUGUUCUACCUAUGUUUUCCUCUAGGAGUUUGAUAUUUUCUGGCCUUACAUUUAGGUCUUCAAUCCAUUUUGAGCUUAUAUUUGUGUAUGGUGUUAGGGAGUGAUCUAAUCUCAUACUUUUACACGUACCUGUCCUGUUUUCCCAGCACCACUUAUUGAAGAGGCUGUCCUUUUUCCACUGUACAUUCCUGCCCCCUUUAUCAAAGAUAAGGUGUCCAUAUGUGCGUGGGUUUAUCUCUGGGCUUUCUGUCCUGUUCCAUUGAUCUAUCUUUCUGUUUUUGUGCCAGUACCAUACCGUCUUGAUAACUGUAGCUUUGUAGUAUAGUCUGAAGUCAGGGAGCCUGAUUCCUCCAGUUCCUUUUUUCGUUCUCAAGAUUGCUUUGGCUAUUCGGGGUCUUUUGUAUUUCCAUACAAAUUGUGAAAGUUUUCGUUCUAGUUUUGUGAAAAAUGCCAGUGGUAGUUUGCUAGGGAUUGCAUUGAAUCUGUAGAUUGCUUUGGGUAGUAGAGUCCUUUUCACAAUGUUGAUUCUUCCCAUGCAAGAACAUGGUAUAUAUCUCCAUCUAUUUGUAUCAUCUUUAAUUUCUUUCAUCAGUGUCUUAAAAUUUUCUGCAUACAGGUCUUUUGUCUCCUUAGGUAGGUUUAUUCCUAGGUAUUUUAUUCUUUUUGCUGCAGUGGUAAAUGGGAGUGUUUUCUUGAUUUCACUUUCAGAUUUUUCAUCAUCGGUGUAUAGGAAUGCCAGAGAUUUCUGUGUAUUAAUUUUGUAUCCUGCUACUUUACCAAAUUCAUUGAUUAGCUCUAGUAGUUUUCCGGUAGCAUCUUUAGGAUUCGCUGUGUGUAGUAACAUGUCAUCUGCAAACAGUGACAGCUUUACUUCUUUUCUGACUUGGAUUCCUUUUAUUUCCUUUUCUUCUCUGAUUGCUGUGGCUAAAACUUCCAAAACUAUGUUGAAUAAGAGUGGUGAGAGUGGGCAACCUUGUCUUGUCCUUGAUCUUAGUGGAAAUGCUUUCAUUUUUUCACCAUUGAGGACGAUGUUGGCUGUGGGUUUGUGAUAUAUGGCCUUUAUUAUGUUGAGGAAAGUUCCCUCUAUGCCUACUUCCUGCAGGGUUUUUAUCAUAAAUGGGUUUUGAAUUUUGUCAAAAGCUUUCUCUGCAUCUAUUGAGAUGAUCAUAUGGUUUUUCUCCUUCAGUUUGUUAAUACGGUUUAUCACAUUGAUUGUUUUGCGUAUACGGAAGAAUCCUUGCAUUCCUGGAAUAAACCCCAUUUGAUCAUGGUGUAUGAUCCUUUUAAUGUGCUGUUGGAUUCUGCUUGCUGGUAUUUUGUUGAGGAUUUUUGCGUCUAUGUUCAUCAGGGAUAUUGGCCUGUAGUUUUCUUUCUUUGUGACAUCCUUGUCUGGUUUUGGUAUCAAGGUGACGGUGGCCUCGUAGAAUGAAUUUGGGAGUGUUCCUCCCUCUGCUAUAUUUUGGAAGUGUUUGAGGAUAGGUGUUAGCUCUUCUCUAAAUGUUUGAUAGAAGUCGCCUGUGAAGCCAUCUGGUCCUAGGCUUUUGUUUGUUGGAAGAUUUUUAAUCACAGUUUCCAUUUCAGCGCUUGUGAUUGGUCUGUUCGUAUUUUCUGUUUUUCCCUAUUCAGUCUUGGCAGGUUGUGCAUUCCUAAGAAUUUGUCCGUUUCUUCCAGGUUGUCCAUUUUAUGGGCAUAGAGUUGCUUGUAGUAAUCUCUCAUGAUCUUUUGUAUUUCUGCACUGUCAGUUGUUACUUCUCCUUUUUCAUUUCUAAUUGUAUUGAUUUGAAUCUUCUCCCUUUUUUUCUUGAUGAGUCUGGCUAAUGGUUUCUCAAUUUUGUCUAUCUUCUCAAAGAACCAGCUUUUAGCUUUAUUGAUCUUUGCUAUCAUUUCCUUCAUUUCUUUUUCAUUUAUUUCUGAUCUGAUCUUUAUGAUUUCUUUCCUUCUGCGAACUUUAGGUUUUUUUUGUUUUUCUUUCUCUUUAAAAUUGCUUUAGGUGUGAGGUUAGGUGGUUUAUUCGAGAUGCUUUCUGUUUCUUAAGGUAGGAUUGUAUUGCUAUAAACUUGC